rnacentral:rRNA from 1 species
CAGUCGCCGCGGUAAUACGUAGGUGGCAAGCGUUGUCCGGAAUUAUUGGGCGUAAAGGGCUCGCAGGCGGUUUCUUAAGUCUGAUGUGAAAGCCCCCGGCUCAACCGGGGAGGGUCAUUGGAAACUGGGAAACUUGAGUGCAGAAGAGGAGAGUGGAAUUCCACGUGUAGCGGUGAAAUGCGUAGAGAUGUGGAGAAACACCAGUGGCGAAGGCGACUCUCUGGUCUGUAACUGACGCUGAGGAGCGAAAGCGUGGGGAGCGAACAGGAUUAGAUACCCGCGUAGUCCCUGUCUCUUAUAA